ensembl:lncRNA
GAGAGGCACUAAGUGCAGACAAAUGGAUGAUGUCUUUGGAAGGGACAACUGUGAUGGUGCCCCACAACAACCUUCUGAAUGGAGUGCAGCGACCUUCGCUGUCUACGUUUUUAACUAACGGUAUCCUAAAGAGGCCUCAAGCACUAAAGAGCUUUUUGUGGAAUCAAUUCCAAGAUGUCAGCAAAGCAGAGAAGAGACGGGGGAUCAACGCACCUGUCUACACCCUAUUAAGAAGACUCCUGGGCUUUAAGUUGAUGGGCUAGUAUUGAUGCCCACCCACACCCCACAGCUUCCCCAGUUCAAGACUGGUUGGGACCUUUUGUUAUUUAUUACCAUGUUCCCCCUGAUGAUAGACUGUCUGGACAUCUGGAAGUGAGCUAGAUUCUUCAGUGAAACUGUAAUUUUGUUUGUAUGAAAAAAAAAAGAUAAAAUAAGUUUGUAAUAUGUGAUGUUGCAUAGUGUGUUAAUAAUAAAAAAUAAUAAAAAGUUGCCAUUGUUUUGGUUUUAAUUUUGGAAGAUGGAAAAUUGCAGUAUUUUAUUAUAUUUAGAAAUUACAAUAUAUUUUGAAUUACAAUAUUGUAAUUGUCUCCUGUAAAAUUACAGGAAAUUCCUGGCAACUGAGUUGCAGUAAAUAUACAGUAAAUUUAAAUAAAUUACAGCAUUUUACUGUAAUAAUGCUACUUUAAUCACAGUAGCACUGCUGUAAAAAUACAGGACUCUAUUGUAUUAAAAAAACAAUAUAUUACCUGUAUAUUACUUGCUGUAAAUUCACGGCAAUUAGUUGCCAGGAAUUUCCUGUAAAAUUACAAUAAAUUUUUAACAGUGUACUAUUACAAAUUGUUUGUGUUUUUCUAUUUUAAAGGAAUAGUGCACCCCAAAAUGAAAAUUUGCAAAAUGAAGGCAUUUUAACUUUGAACCAUCACUUCUAGCCUAAACAAAUUCCUUCCACUUCUGUCCCCUCACAUCAAAAUGUGUGCACAUUUCUCUUCCGAUUUAAAAAGAUGACUUAAUUUUGGAUAGAGGACUUAGAGGUUUAAAGUUGAAUUUGUUGAUUACAGACACACAGCUUUUUAUGUUAUUAUGAUGUUUAAGUUAGCUGUUUGAACUCUCAUUCUGAUGGCACCCAUUCACUGCAGAGGAUGGAUUGGUGAGCAAGUUGUACUGUAAUGCUAAAUUUCUCCAAAUCUGUUCAGAUGAAGAAACAAUCACUUUAAUAUCUUGGAUGGUCUCAUGGUGAGUACAUUUCCAGCAAUUUUUCAUUUUUGGGUGAACUAUUUCCUCUACUCCUAUUAUAAAAGCAUCUGUUAAAUGCAUACAUGUAUAUUCUGAGAUGUGGAGACAAAAAAAAUGGAGUUCAUAUUAAGAUCAAUGACUCUGGAAUCAUGGCAAACCAGUUAGAGAAAUGUUAGAGAUCUAAUCUGAAACUCACUUGUUAUAGAUCACGGGGGUCUUUUGAUAAAAGGAUAAAAAAUAUAAAAAAAUCAAUCAAAAGUAUCUGUUUAUUCUCAAUGCUGACUAACAACUAAGAUACAGUAUAAAGAUAUCUCAUUUGUCAUUUUUCUCUCUGAAAACAAACAAUUCAUAAUAAACACCCACUAAACUACGCCAGCUAUCUGGUAUUGAAUUAACACUAUAUUAGAACAUUAUAUAUGCCACUAUAUUCAAAACAUGCCUCCACAAACACUGUAAAAAAAAAAAAAAAACAGUAUUCAUCACACCUUACAGGAGUUGUGUAAAUCUCUGGUCUAUAUGUCACUACCAGUGCUGCUUCAUUAAGAGCCCUAAUGAUAAUGUUAAUUAGGGGUUUCUCAGCCACAAUCACCAGUCAAAUAUAUGCAUCAGACAAUAAGGAACAAGGGAAGAUACCG